rnacentral:ncRNA from 1 species
GUGUUGUAUGAGAGAAAGUUAGCACACCUCUUGACAAGGAUGAAAGAGGCCCUCAAGCCUGACAACACACACAUAGUUAAGGCAUUGCCACAUACUUCGUGGCAUCUGACUAUCUUUAA